AACGAACGCUGGCGGCAGGCUUAACACAUGCAAGUCGAACGCCCCGCAAGGGGAGUGGCAGACGGGUGAGUAACGCGUGGGAACAUACCCUUUUCUACGGAAUAGCCCUGGGAAACUUCAGCUAAUACCGUAUACGCCCUACGCGGGAAAGAUUUAUCGGAAUUGGAGGAGCCCGCGUUAGAUUAGCUAGUUGGUGGGGUAAUGGCCUACCAAGGCGACGAUCUAUAGCUGGUCUGAGAGGAUGAUCAGCCACACUGGGACGGAGACACGGCCCAGACUCCUACGGGAGGCAGCAGUGGGGAAUAUUGGACAAUGGGCGCAAGCCUGAUCCAGCCAUGCCGCGUGAGUGAUGAAGGCCUUAGGGUUGUAAAGCUCUUUCAGUGGGGAAGAUAAUGACGGUACCCACAGAAGAAGCCCCGGCUAACUUCGUGCCAGCCGCCGCAGUAAUAC
rnacentral:rRNA from 1 species